UACGGGGGGGGCAAGCGUUAUCCGGAUUUACUGGGUUUAAAGGGUGCGCAGGCGGAUAUGUAAGUCAGUGGUGAAAUCUCUAGGCUUAACCUGGAAAUUGCCGUUGAUACUAUAUAUCUUGAAUGCUGUGGAGGUAAGCGGAAUAUGUCAUGUAGCGGUGAAAUGCUUAGAUAUGACAUAGAACACCUAUUGCGAAGGCAGCUUACUACGCAGAUAUUGACGCUCAUGCACGAAAGCGUGGGGAUCAAACAGG
rnacentral:rRNA from 1 species